rnacentral:rRNA from 1 species
CAGCCGCCGCGGUAAUACGUAGGUGGCAAGCGUUGUCCGGAAUUAUUGGGCGUAAAGGGCUCGCAGGCGGUUUCUUAAGUCUGAUGUGAAAGCCCCCGGCUCAACCGGGGAGGGUCAUUGGAAACUGGGGAACUUGAGUGCAGAAGAGGAGAGUGGAAUUCCACGUGUAGCGGUGAAAUGCGUAGAGAUGUGGAGGAACACCAGUGGCGAAGGCGACUCUCUGGUCUGUAACUGACGCUGAGGAGCGAAAGCGUGGGGAGCGAACAGGAUUAGAUACCCGCGUAGUCCCUGUCUCUUAUAC